rnacentral:rRNA from 1 species
ACCCGCUGAUAUUAAGCAUAUCAAUAAGCGGAGGAAGAGAAACUAACCAGGAUUCCCCCAGUAACGGCGAGCGAAGAGGGAUAGCUCGAGCAUGAAAUCCCCGAGAAUUGUGGCCGGUAGAGGCAGCUGCCCGGCUGGCGCUGUCGAAGUUGACCUGGAAAGGCACGUCGGAGAGGGUGAGAGCCCCGUGCGCGACACCGGCGGGCCGGGCCAGCUGUCUUCGGAGAGUCGGGUUGUUUGGGAUUGCAGCCCAAAGUGGGUGGUAAACUCCAUCUAAAGCUAAAUACUGGCACGAGACCGAUAGCGAACAAGUACCGUGAGGGAAAGGUGAAAAGUACUUUG